GCUCGAGUGGCGAACGGGCGAGUAACACGUGAGUAACCUGCCCUUGACUUUGGGAUAACUUCAGGAAACUGGGGCUAAUACCGGAUAGGAGCUCCUGCUGCAUGGUGGGGGUUGGAAAGUUUCGGCGGUUGGGGAUGGACUCGCGGCUUAUCAGCUUGUUGGUGGGGUAGUGGCUUACCAAGGCUUUGACGGGUAGCCGGCCUGAGAGGGUGACCGGCCACAUUGGGACUGAGAUACGGCCCAG
rnacentral:rRNA from 1 species